rnacentral:rRNA from 1 species
CCUACGUGAGGCAGCAGUGAGGAAUAUUGGUCAAUGGGCGCGAGCCUGAACCAGCCAAGUAGCGUGAAGGAUGACUGCCCUACGGGUUGUAAACUUCUUUUAUACGGGAAUAACGUGAGUCACGUGUGCCUUUUUGUAUGUACUUUAUGAAUAAGGAUCGGCUAACUCCGUGCCAGCAGCCGCGGUAAUACGGAGGAUCCGAGCGUUAUCCGGAUUUAUUGGGUUUAAAGGGAGCGUAGAUGGGUUGUUAAGUCAGUUGUGAAAGUUUGUGGCGCAACCGUAAAAUUGCAAUUGAUACUGGCAGUCUUGAGUCCAGUUGAGGUAGGCGGAAUUCGUGGUGUAGCGGUGAAAUGCUUAGAUAUCACGAAGAACCCCGAUUGCGAAGGCAGCUUACUAAACUGCCACUGACAUUGAUGCUCGAAAGUGUGGGUAUCAAACAGGAUUAGAUACCCUUGUAGUC